rnacentral:rRNA from 1 species
CAGUAGCCGCGGUAAUACAGAGGUCCCGAGCGUUGUUCGGAUUCAUUGGGCGUAAAGGGUGUGUAGGAGGCCAGGUAAGUCAGGUGUGAAAUCUCAGAGCUUAACUCUGAAACUGCGCUUGAUACUGCUUGGCUAGAGGAUCGGAGGGGGUAACGGAAUUUAUGGUGUAGCAGUGAAAUGCGUAGAUAUCGGAAGGAACACCUGUGGCGAAAGCGGCUCACUGGACCAUUUCUGACGCUGAUGCACGAAAGCUAGGGGAGCAAACAGGAUUAGAGACCCGAGUAGUCCCUGUCUCUUAUAA